GCCGAAAUAAGCUCGGAUUGGGAGAGCGUUAGACUUCGAAGAUCUAAAGGUCCCUGGUUCAAUCGGGUUUCGGCA